UACGUAGGGUGCAAGCGUUGUCCGGAAUUAUUGGGCGUAAAGAGCUCGUAGGCGGUCUGUCGCGUCGGCUGUGAAAACCUGGGGCUCAACCCCGGGCUUGCAGCCGAUACUGGCAGACUAGAAUUCGGUAGGGGAGACUGGAAUUCCUGGUGUAGCGGUGAAAUGCGCAGAUAUCAGGAGGAACACCGGUGGCGAAGGCGGGUCUCUGGGCCGAUAUUGACGCUGAGGAGCGAAAGCGUGGGGAGCAAACAGG
rnacentral:rRNA from 1 species